rnacentral:lncRNA from 1 species
CUGUGCUGUGUUUGGCCAAGUUGGACUGCAGGGGCCGUCGCCUUCUUCCCACCUUGGCCUCCUUUUCCCAACGCCCUUAGCAGCCUUGAGUCCUGGUCGUCUGCAGAGGCCUCAGCAGGACGAGGAGGAGGAGGAGCCGCUGGGUGUCAGACCAAUGCUGUGAGGGGUGUAAGGAAGAGAGCCACCGCCCGUCCCUCAGCUACCAGACCUAGAAAGCAGGAUGGCACAGGAGUGAGGCGGAGGGGCUGAGCACCGUUGACCAGACGUGGGACACUGGUGGUUCGCGGGUCACUGAGGUAGGUGUACAGCUGGGCUGGUG